rnacentral:rRNA from 1 species
CCUACGGGAGGCAGCAGUGAGGAAUAUUGGUCAAUGGGCGAGAGCCUGAACCAGCCAAGUCGCGUGAAGGAUGAAGGAUCUAUGGUUUGUAAACUUCUUUUAUAUGGGAAUAAAGUGAGGAACGUGUUCCUUUUUGUAUGUACCAUAUGAAUAAGCAUAGGCUAACUCCGUGCCAGCAGCCGCGGUAAUACGGAGGAUGCGAGCGUUAUCCGGAUUUAUUUGGUUUAAAGGGUGCGUAGGUGGUUAAUUAAGACAGCGGUGAAAUUUUGUGGCUCAACCAUAAAAUUGCCGUUGAAACUGGGAGGCGUGAGUAUGUUUGAGGCAGGCGGAAUGCGUGGUGUAGCGGUGAAAUGCUUAGAUAUCACGCAGAACCCCGAUUGCGAAGGCAGCCUGCCAAGCCAUGACUGACGCUGAUGCACGAAAGCGUGGGGAUCAAACAGGAUUAGAUACCCCGGUAGUC